rnacentral:rRNA from 1 species
AUGCUUGUGUGGGAAAGAGUGCUUGUGAAAAUUAAGUUCUUUCUAUGGUCACUGAAUAAAAAAAGUAUUCUAACUAGAGAUAAUCUGCUAAAGAGGGGAUGGAAAGGGGACAAGCAGUGUGUCUUGUGUGGGAAAGAGGAGAACAUUGAUCACCUCUUCUUUUCCUGUUCAGUAGCUAGGCUCAUUUGGAGUCUGGUGGGAUGUGCUUUUGAUUUAAAACAGAUCCCGAGAGAUUUGAAUGAUUGCUUUGGGAGUUGGCUUAAGAAAUUUAACAGAAAAUGA